rnacentral:rRNA from 1 species
CACGGAGUUAGCCGAUGCUUUUUCUUCGGAUACACGCAGUCCGGGACACGUCCCGGGUUUUGUUCUCCGACAAAAGAGGUUUACAACCCAUAGGGCCGUCUUCCCUCACGCGGCUUGGCUGGUUCAGGACCUCUCCCAUUGACCAAUAUUCCUCACUGCUGCCUCCCGUAGGAGUCUGGUCCGUGUCUCAGUACCAGUGUGGGGGACCUUCCUCUCAGAACCCCUACGCAUCGUCGCCACGGUGGGCCGUUACCCCGCCGUCAAGCUAAUGCGCCGCAUGCCCAUCCUCUUCCGAUGAAUCUUUCCUCGAUCUCGGAUGCCCGAAACCGAUAUACGCGGGAUUAGCCUCCCUUUCGGAAGGUUGUCCCCCUGAAGAGGGCAGGUUGCAUACGUGUUACUCACCCGUGCGCCGGUCGCCGGCAAGGAAAGCAAGCUUCCCUCCCGAUGCCCCUCGACUUGCAUGUGUUAAGCCUGCCGCUAGCGUUCAUCCUGAGCCAGGAUCAAACUCU